rnacentral:sRNA from 1 species
GCCGGGUGUGGUAGCGCACGCCUGUAAUCCCAGUGGCUAGGGAGGCUGAGACAGGAGGAUCCUGAGUUCAAAGCCAGCCUCAGCAAGGUGAGGUGCUAAGCAACUCAGUGAGAUCCUGUCUCUA